rnacentral:rRNA from 1 species
GCUAGGAUGAACGCUAGCUACAGGCUUAACACAUGCAAGUCGAGGGGCAGCAUUGGGAUAGCUUGCUAUUCAGAUGGCGACCGGCGCACGGGUGAGUAACGCGUAUCCAACCUUCCUGCCAGUAGGGAACAGCCCGGCGAAAGUCGGAUUAAUGCCCUAUGUUCUUCAAUGCGGACAUCUAAGUUGAAGGAAAGAUUCAUCGCUGGCAGAUGGGGAUGCGUCCGAUUAGCUUGCCGGCGGGGUAACGGCCCACCGGGGCGACGAUCGGUAGGGGUUCUGAGAGGAAGGUCCCCCACACUGGUACUGAGACACGGACCAGACUCCUACGGGAGGCAGCAGUGAGGAAUAUUGGUCAAUGGGCGUAAGCCUGAACCAGCCAAGUAGCGUGCAAGGAUGACGGCCCUACGGGUUGUAAACUGCUUUUUAUGCGGGGAUAAAGUGCGGCACGUGUGCCGCUUUGCAGGUACCGCAUGAAUAAGGACCGGCUAAUUCCGUGCCAGCCGCGGC